rnacentral:rRNA from 1 species
GCUUAUCACCAUUCCAGAUUGAAUAUACCCGAUCUCGUCUGAUCUCGGAAGUCAAGCAAUCUCGGGCUUGGUUAGUAAUUGAAUGGGUGACCGCUUGGGAAUACCAAGUGUGAUAAGCA